rnacentral:lncRNA from 1 species
GAAGAUUAAAAGAAAAUAUGAAAACCACAGACCCACCUCAAGCAUCGAAAGUGGUCGUUUCCCUAGAGCCUGAAAACUCCCCUUGAGAAUUAUUAGAAUUUGCUAGCAGACCAUCAAAACCAAUCCUAUCUACAACUCUUGGCAUUGCUUUAGCAAUAGAUUAACAACUGAAUGCCUUCACUUUAAAUUUACUACCUUUGCCUUGUAAAUUAUGAGAACCUCUCUUUAACCAUCUGUGGUCCCCAAAUUUCAACAGAGAUGAGGAAGCCCUUGAAGUCAUAUCACCAAAAGGAGUAUUGGGUUUUCGAUUUUCAACAAACUUGGAGCUAAAUUUUUCCACAGAAGUAACAAAUGUGUCUUUCGUUAGCUAACUUGGAGCUUCAAAUUGAUGUACAGUAGGACUGGAACGAGGAUUGCCCAAUGAUAACCCCCUGUUAGGUGCUUCGGUCUUCGAAGAAAGUGGGAAUUUUUUUGGGGCUUGUGUCG